rnacentral:rRNA from 1 species
CGUGUAGGCGGCCUGAUGUGUCAGAUGUGAAAGCCCUGGGCUUAACCCAGGAAGUGCAUUUGAAACUGUCGGGCUCGAGUAGGGGAGAGGGAAGUGGAAUUCCUGGUGUAGAGGUGAAAUUCGUAGAUAUCAGGAGGAACACCGGUGGCGAAGGCGACUUCCUGGCCCUAUACUGACGCUGAGACGCGAGAGCGUGGGUAGCAAACA